UACGGAGGAUUCAAGCGUUAUCCGGAUUUAUCGGGUUUAAAGGGUGCGUAGGCGGUCGGAUAAGUUAGAGGCGAAAUCCCGAGGCUCAACUUCGGAAUUGCCUCUGAUACUGUUGGACUAGAGAAUAGUUGCGGUAGGCGGAAUGUAUGGUGUAGCGGUGAAAUGCUUAGAGAUCAUACAGAACACCGAUUGCGAAGGCAGCUUACCAAACUAUAUCUGACGUUGAGGCACGAAAGCGUGGGUAUCGAACAGG
rnacentral:rRNA from 1 species